rnacentral:lncRNA from 1 species
CUUGAUCCUCUGCCAGCUGCUCUCCUGUGGGUCUGCAAGAGCCCAACUGUUGGGAGAACAAUUUGAUUUAUCCUCUGGUCUCCACGGGUUGUGAGCAGCACACGUGUUCCCUGCCAGAGCGAUCGUGUACGUGUCUGAAGGACAAAGAGGGGCAGGCUGGCUGUCUACCCUGGGGUCCCAGGCCAAGCAGUGAAAGAACGGCCUAACGAGGGGCACAGGCACAACCACAGUGGAGAUGGUCUGAGAAGGCCUCGCAGCACAGAUGCUGA